rnacentral:rRNA from 1 species
UACAGAGGGGGCAAGCGUUGUUCGGAAUUACUGGGCGUAAAGGGCGCGUAGGCGGCCCGCUAAGUCGAACGUGAAAUCCCCGGGCUCAACCCGGGAACUGCGUCCGAUACUGGCAGGCUUGAAUCCGGGAGAGGGAUGCGGAAUUCCAGGUGUAGCGGUGAAAUGCGUAGAUAUCUGGAGGAACGAACCGGUGGCCGGAAG